UUUGCCUACGGGAGGCAGCAGUGAGGAAUAUUGGUCAAUGGGAGAGAUCCUGAACCAGCCAAGCCGCGUGAGGGAAGACGGCACUAUGGGUUGUAAACCUUUUUUGUCGGAGAACAAAACCCGGGACGUGUCCCGGACUGCGUGUAUCCGAAGAAAAAGCAUCGGCUAACUCCGUGCCAGCAGCCGCGGUAAUACGGAGGAUGCGAGCGUUAUCCGGAUUUAUUGGGUUUAAAGGGUGCGUAGGCGGUCCGUUAAGUCAGCGGUAACAUUGCGGGGCUCCACCCCGUCGAGCCGUUGAAACUGGG
rnacentral:rRNA from 1 species